CUCAAUAAUGGAUAUCUCAGCUCUCGCAUCGAUGAAGAACGUAGUGAAAUGCGAUACAUGGUGUUAAUUGCAGAAUCCCAUGAACCAUCCGAGUUUUUGAACGCAAGUUACGCCCGAAGCCUUCUGGCUGAGGGAACUUCUUCCUGGGCAUCACG
rnacentral:rRNA from 1 species